rnacentral:rRNA from 1 species
UACAGAGGUCUCAAGCGUUGUUCGGAUUCAUUGGGCGUAAAGGGUGCGUAGGCGGCGAAGCAAGUCUGAUGUGAAAUCCCGGGGCUCAACCCCGGAACUGCAUUGGAUACUGCUUUGCUAGAGUACUGGAGAGGAGACUGGAAUUUACGGUGUAGCAGUGAAAUGCGUAGAUAUCGUAAGGAAGACCAGUGGCGAAGGCGAGUCUCUGGACAGUUACUGACGCUGAGGCGCGAAAGCGUGGGUAGCAAACAGG